UCUCUCUCUCUCUCUCUCUUAAUAUCGCCGGAUGUGAAGCACCCGUACUCACCCAUCACCUUUUAUCUGUGCCCUCAGAGCUGCGAAGCCACCCGACGGCUGGAUCCCCUUCCCGCGCCCCCGCUUAUUUUUUUUGUGGCGAUUUGAAGCUUCAAUCUCUGCUCGAGAGCUCCCAUCGGGGGUUCCACCAGUUUUUUUUAAGGAUAUCCGCUGCAAUGAAUGUACACAUAAUUUUUGAACAAGGGCUCCUUGUGAUGUAUCUGGGAAGCCAAGUGGACCAUGUAACAUCAACCCAAGAGUAAAGAGCUUUUUUUUUCGAAAAGAUAAGUCCAUAACUGUGUCAGUAAUUGGGUCCAUAGUAAUUUCACCCAUCAAUACUUAUCUCGUAUACAAGUAAUAGCAAACACUUUUAUUUUCUGAUGGGCAUUUUUUUUGUGAAUUUGCAGACCAUUCCUUGCUACGUCCGCGAGGAGUUCAACAAGAUGACAUCCAACAUCGUAACCUUAAUAAGUAAUUAUUGGUUUGAUUACACCGUUCGUAUCUCGUCCACCGUUUAUCCAAGACCAACGUGAAGAAGUGCUUGAAAUUUUCAGAACCAAUCACCGCUCUUAUAUGUGACGGAGCCAGAGUGAAGAAGCAUUUCAGUUUCGCAUUGACACUGAUGGUCGUAUGGUGACAGUAGGGUCUACUAACUGGAAACAUUUCACUUCCAAAGUUAAUUUCAAGAUAAAGAGCUCAUUUUGAUAAGCUGUGGCCUUUUCUUUGUCAAAGAUUAGGUUGUCCUGAACCUAAGGUACAUUCUGGAACUGAAAUUGAAUCCAGCAUCUAAGCUUUUGCAUAUGUCCUUUUUCAGCACAAAACUGAACUUUGGUAUUGCCGCCAAAGCAUAUUUUCAUGUUUUUAGGGCACAGAAUGUGCACAUUUUCAUUGCUUGCUCAAAAGGCCGUCCAGAACAGAUUUGACUGGUUUUAGCCACAAAACCAGGCAACUGAUUCAGGCGCCUGUUUUGAUGGCAAAAGGCAGGCGACUGCUAUUUCAAACAAAAGCAGGCGACUGUUCAAUAGACAGUCCCAUCUAUAGAGACAUUUUUUGAGGCAUUUAAUAAAUUGUCACAAGACUCAUGUAGAGACAUGGUUUUGAGAUACCUUACGGUAUGGUUAAAGACACUAUUUGAGACACAUUUUAUGUUGUGUAUAGACAUUCUCAGUAAAUUUGAGACAUGUAGCAGACUACUCAUAAUAAUUUCAUUAGAAGUAUAAGCAAGAAUGGUAUCAGGUUGAGAUGGUUAGGUGAGUGUGUAGUUUUCCUUAAGGUCUUGAGUUCGAGGAUUGGUUUAAACAUGAUUUUU